rnacentral:rRNA from 1 species
GAUGAACGCUAGCGGCAGGCCUAACACAUGCAAGUCGAGGGGCAGCAUUUCCAGCUUGCUGGAAGAUGGCGACCGGCGCACGGGUGCGCAACGCGUAUGGAACCUGCCCAUUGCUGGGGAAUAGCCCAUGGAAACGUGGAUUAAUGCCCCAUAGUACCGAGAGACAGCAUUGUUUUUCGGUUAAAGCCUUCGGGCGGCGAUGGAUGGCCAUGCGUACCAUUAGCUAGUUGGUAAGGUAACGGCUUACCAAGGCUACGAUGGUUAGGGGCCCUGAGAGGGGGAUCCCCCACACUGGUACUGAGACACGGACCAGACUCCUACGGGAGGCAGCAGUGAGGAAUAUUGGACAAUGGGCGGGAGCCU